AACUGUAUUACUAGUAUUAUAUUAGUGUAUAGUGACGGUAAUUAUAGUCACUAUAAUCAAUAGUGUAUUGCCUGUAGAUCUAGUACCUGUACUAAUAUUAGUAGAUGUAGAUCUAUAAUAAUAAUACUUUUUAAUAGUAGAAAGUAGAUUUAUAAUCUAUCAAUUCUAUCUAAUCUAGAUCUAAAUCUAGACUUCACUUUCACAUCACAUGAUUAUUGAUACAGACAGUGAAUGAAACGAAUGCAGUGAUUAUAUUAUAGUUUAUACUGACUUAUAGCUCUACCAGUUGAUUAUCAUCAUCAUCAUCUGAGGUCAUCUCGAAUAAUAAUCUAGACUAUUAUUAACAAGUAGAACCAUGGCAACCAGUUCUGAUGAUGUACCAGAUUGGCUCAAGGAUCAUACUUAUACUAUUUCUACUCUCUGGGCAGACAUUAAUAAUAUUGGCAUCCAUUCAAUAUUUAUUUUAUGUUUGGAAAUGCAAGAAAAAGGCAUGCAUUCCUGACAAGUCAAUGAUUGGUUGCACCUCUUAAAGAUAACUUUCUGUUAUGAGAAAAGAUGAGAUUCUUGGACUCCUGCAUAGCACCACCAGAAAGGAAAAUCCCAUCAUGUUGCAAAAUAAAAGUCUUGGACCAAUUUUAAUUUAAGAUAUAUAUAUUAUACUGUAAGCUCUAUACAUAUUUAUGUAUAUCCUGUCAUUCAGCCAACAGGUUUGGAUUUAGUAUUUCUUUAAAUCUGUUUGAUAUUGUACUUGAAAACUAUUAAUCUGAGCCCCAUUAAAACAAUAGGGAGUGCAGUGAAUGAGUGGUAAAGCACUUGGCUUCUGAACUGAGGGUUCCUGGGUUCAAUUAAGACUGGGAUUUUCAAAUUCAGAAUUCAAAAGGCUAGGGAUACAUGGCAAUAGUAAGGAAUAAGUAAAGGCAGUUUGGGGAUCCAUGGCUGAAUGGUUAAGUCAUGGGUUUGAAUCUCUGUGAAGACUCGGGUUAAAAUUUUUUUAGAUUUUUGGCCCCUGAGUUCACCUAACUCUAAUGGGUAGCUGACUUUUGUUUUGGAAAGUAAAGAUGGUUGGUUGUUGUGCUGGCCACAUGAUGCACUGGCCAAAGAAUGACCUUAACAUCAUCUGCCCUAUAGAUUGUGACGUCUGAAAUGGGAUUUUUUUUCAAAAGGUGGUUGGUUGUUGUGCUGGGUACAUGACACCCUCGCUAACCAUGGGGCACAGAAACUGAUAAACUUUAUAUCAUCUGCCCCAUAGAUUGCAAGAUAUAUAAGGGAAAUUUUACUUUUUAAAAAUUAAAAUAAGAAUCUAUCAAAAGUUAACAUAAAAUAUGGUGCAUUCUCCUUAAAACUAAAACCUGGUGCGAAGGUUUAAAAUGUUGGCAAAAAAAAGCAACAUCAUAUAUUCUUAAUUCCCUUUGCAAAACUUACUGAGAAGAACAUGCAUGUUGUUCCCUCAUAAUUUUCUUGACAGAGGAAAUCUUGUUUAUAUUAGAUUUGAAUUAAGCAAAUUAAGAAAAAAAUUAUAAUCAUUAUUUCAAAUGGUUGUAUCUAAACCUUAUGAAUUAUUUUUCCGUUAUAAGUAUAUUGAGAUUAAUGGAUAAUCAUGAAAUUGUAAAAUAAUUGCUGCUAUCAUUCCAUUGACUAAAGAACCAUAUUUUUUUUUUAUUUUAAAUUAAUUUCAAAAUGAUUUUUUUUCAAGCAUAGAGUUCACAUAGAUCUUGAGUGAAUUUUUUUUUUUUAUUUGACUAAUGCUUCAAUUUUAUUGUAUCAUAUUAGUUGUUAAUUUUUAUUACCCAGAAUAUUUAAAAAAUGAGUACACUAUUUUCAUGUAAUAAUGUAACUUGGUAUUCACACAAUGCUCAAAAUACACCAUAAUCUUUAGGCCAUACAGAUUUGUAUAAAUUAACUUGUUUAAAUACAUUGUAAAUGUAUACUGUUUAGAUAAGAAUAAAGUUUUUCUGUAGACAAUUAUUGUUCAAGAUUUGUUGAUGCUCCUGCUUAAUCAAUUAUAUAUACAGGUCAUUAGUUUUAACACGUCUGAUAAUAAAUGACAGUACAAGUUAAUGAAUGAAAAUUUGUCAUUAUUUCAGCUGCUUUAGUCCUACAUCAAUGUGAGGUACCAGUACUUUGAUUGUGUCAUAUAACAAUUUAAAGCAACAUUUUGAAAUGAAUAGUCUGUAGAAUUGACAGUAAAUACAUUUAAGUGAUGGGCUGUGAUCUGCUUGAAUUGGGAGCUGAUCAUGUAUUGAAUUUGUGUUUUUGAUCUUUACUUCAAGUAAAUGUUAAUGAGCAAUUAAUUUUUAAUGAAUAAAUAAUUUAAAAAUAAAUACAAAAGAACCAUAAACAUCUACUUUAGUUUAAUUUUUUUUUUCAUCAGAACAGAAUUUCCAACUUUGCAUUCUUAAAAUAAAAUAUAAUUUAUUUAGAGUAGAGUCAGAACACAAAAUCAUAGUUUUAAAAUAUUAAGUAAAUUAAGCUAAGCUGUGAUCUCUUAUAAACAUUUGUAUAUAGACUAUACACAAUUUAAUUAUUAUUUUUCAUCAAAUUGCAGGAACUACUACAUGUACUUAUGCCUAUUUGACAAUAAAAAACCAUAGUCAAUGAAAUAGUAAUACUAGUAAAUGAGAUAAAAGUAAAUUUAAUAUCAUCAAUGCUAUUGAAGCCACACUUGUUUUUUUUUUAUCUU